AAACGUGUAAGAUUCAGUAACUUAUCAAAUAUAAAGCGGCAAAGCCUGUCUGCACACAAAUAGGAGUUCAAUUUAACAAAGGCCUUCAAAGUAAAUCCCACACAACAACAAAUAACGUUAGCCUAUAAGUUAAUGGUCUCCCACAUAAAUAACUGCAAGCUUCUAAACUAUUUAGCUACCCGGUCAUAAAAAUUUGCAUAUUAAAGAAAAAAAAACACAAGCUACUGUGUAAUCGACUCACCUGUUAGAAUGGCUGCGAUCUGGCCUCAGAGGUAGACAUUAGGGAUGUGCAGUAUCGAUAUAUCGAUACUCAGAAGCUUCUAUUGUGGUAUUUUCUGCAAAGUAUCGAUACUUAAUUAUAGUUAUAAUUUCUUUAUAACUAAAUGUUUUAAGCAGUGUGUGCAGGGCAGGCCAAUCGGGAUGGUGUGUAUAUGAUCUAAAAAGAAAAGCAGCAGGGGUUCAGAUAAAAAAUCGGCAGCUGGCAGCAGGAAGUGGCUGCCAUUGACAGCUGGAAGGCAGUAACUGACAGCCGGAUGGUAGGCGGGACCUGCCAUUCGGUGGGAGCCAAUCAGUAUCGACCAAUGUGGGCGCAACCAAUCAGAUAUAACUGCACCCAAACGCUUCAGUAAUGGUUGCGAUUGAUCAAAUGGCAAGUUCAGAAAUUGGUCAUCGGAGUAAUUAAUGUUUUUUUGCGUUUUGCCAGAUGCUGUCCUGUUGGAAAUUCUUCUUUACGUGAUCCUGGAGGAGGGGUGAUGCUACAUUACUAAGUCCCUCUUUGGUUUGUUCCAAAUUCAGAAGUCUGCUGUACUGUAUACAGACUCCUUUCGAAAGAGGGCACAAUCCAGCUGGCUUGACUGAGUAUCUUCUUUUACAUAUUUGAUUAGAGGUUUAAAAAGGUGGAACAAAAU